rnacentral:rRNA from 1 species
CCAUGCUAGUCGCACGGAGUUCAGACUCGUGGCGAAUAGCUCAGUAACACGUGGCCAAACUACCCUUCGGAACACAAUACCCUCGGGAAACUGAGGCUAAUAGUGUAUACCAUACCACCACUGGAAUGAGUGGUAUGCCAAACGCUCCGGCGCCGAAGGAUGUGGGCUGCGGGCCGAUUAGGUAGACGGUGGGGUAACGGCCCACCGUGCCAAUAAUCGGUAUGGGUCAUGAGAGUGAGAACCCAGAGACGGAAUCUGAGACAAGAUUCCGGGCCCUACGGGGCGCAGCAGGCGCGAAACCUUUACACUGCACGACAGUGCGAUAGGGGGAUCCCAAGUGCACAGGCAUAGCGCCUGUGCUUUUCGGUACCGUAAGGUGGUACCAGAAUAAGGGCUGGGCAAGACCGGUGCCAGCCGCCGCGGUAAUACCGGCAGCCCAAGUGAUGGCCGAUCUUAUUGGGCCUAAAGCGUCCGUAGCUGGCCGCGCAAGUCCAUCGGGAAAUCCACCUGCUCAACAGGUGGGCGCCCGGUAGAAACUGCGUGGCUUGGGACCGGAAGGCGCGACGGGUACGUCCGGAGUAGGAGUGAAAUCCCGUAAUCCUGGACGGACCGCCGAUGGCGAAAGCACGUCGCGAGGACGGAUCCGACAGUGAGGGACGAAAGCCAGGGUCUCGAACCGGAUUAGAUACCCGGGUAGUCCUGGCCGUAAACAAUGUCUGCUAGGUGUGGCUCCCACUACGAGUGGGUGCUGUGCCGUAGGGAAGCCGCUAAGCAGACCGCCUGGGAAGUACGUCCGCAAGGAUGAAACUAAAGGAAUGGCGG